GACGAACGCUGGCGGCGUGCCUAAUACAUGCAAGUCGAACGCAGUGGGGACGGGUGGGUAACACGUGGGUAACCUCCCAUCAGAGGGGAUAACACUUAGAAACAGGUACUAAACCGAUACUGAUGGAUGGACCCACGGUGCAUUAGCUAGUUGGUUAGGUAACGGCUCACCAAGGCCACGAGGCAUAGCCGACCUGAGAGGGUGAUCGGCCACAUUGGGACUGAGACACGGCCCCGACUCCUACGGGAGGCAGCAGUAGGGGAUCGUCGGCAAUGGACGAAAGACUGACCGAGCAACGCAGCGUGAGUGAAGAAGGUUUUCGGAUCGUAAAACUCUGUUGUUAGAGAAGCGGUAUCUAACCAGAAAGCCACGGCUAACUACGUGCCAGCAGCCGCGGUAAUUC
rnacentral:rRNA from 1 species